GUGAGAAAGGCCUCUGAGAACUGGAACUCACGUUGGGCCUCAACUACAGAGGGAAGAAGAGGAGGGACACCAGAAGUAGCAUGAACAGUAUGUAUAAAGGUCUAAGAACAGGAAGUAAGCCUGUUCUGCCCAAAAUAGAGAGCCAGGAAAUGGUAUGGGCACACGGUGCUCCCAGGGGGCUGUAACUGACUGUGUAGCCUGCCUUUCCUCCUGUGGGAAGCUCUCUUGAGAGCACUUCAGGAUGCAAGACAUCGGGCAACCAAGCAGCUGUGCUUCACAGUUGGACCACACCAAGCUUCUGCCUAUGCAGCCAAUACUAUCAGGGCAGCCCCACCAUCCACCAAGCGCCCUCAGUGAUCUACUGGUGCCACAUCAGGCCCCACCUCUCCACAUCUCCACACUGGAGCCCAAGCUUCCAAUGCCUUGGAAGACUCACUAAAACAAUAUCCAAACCAUGGCAUAUCUCUAGAAAAAUCUCUUCUUGUGGGCUGUGCCAUCAAUUGACUACCUAAGAGAAGUAGGACUUGCUUUCUGUUUCACCUAAAAGCCCCAUUCUUCACUCCACUGGAGACCCUUUUUCUGGAAUUCACGUGUCCUCCCUGGUCAGUAGCAAAGAUCAAACGCCGAAUCAUCAGCCAGUCCUUCUAUUAAUUGAUGUUAUAAUCAGGAAAAGCAUUACAGGGAGGGGACAGCAAAUUUCCCGUGAAAAGGAGAUGGCUGGGUUGCUGACACAGGCUACAUCAUUGCAGAACCCUGAGAGCAGGGAAGAUGCAGACAGAAUGAAUGUGCAAGCUGAGGCAAUAUGGAGCAGUACCAGCCAUUCUGCAUCGAGAAAGACUGAGACCCAGCCCCUUGGAGCAUCUGAGUGAGCUACAGAGAAAGAGCAACUGCGUUCUCAAACUUAGAGAGCAUCCAGACCCAAGCCAGAGCCUCUCUCUCUGCCUCUGUGUAAAUCUGCUUGCAGCCCAAACCCUUGGAGACAGAUCAGGUGGAUCAAACCAGUUAGGAUGCCAGGCUGGCAACUGGCUGCACUAGUGUGGAACCUAAGGGAUGAAAGGACCAGAAAGAGGAACCAGGGAGACAUCAGGGGAAGUAAUCCCGGGAGGUGAGUGGGUACAGAAUACAAAGAAGCCAGGUGCGAAGGAGGGGAAGGAGCCCAGAGCAGAGUCGCCAUGAAUUUUCCAGAAGCAACAGAGCUGAAGAAGAGAACAUCACUCAACAGCCUCCUAAUAGAGCAGCCUCUCGGAGGCAUUUGGAAUAGAAAGGCAUUGGCUCUAAUGCCUUCUCUGUAGUAGGCGCGUGACCUCGAGCAAAUCAACCUGGACCCUAGUCUCAUUAUUGGAAAGGGAGAUCCCAGCCCCCCAACACAUACACACACACACAGAGAGAAAGAGAGAGAGAGAGAGAGAGAGAGAGAGAGAGAGAGAGAGAGAGAAUAACCAAGGCUCUCGUGAGAUAAUGGAUGUGAACUGAUUUAUCAAGUGCUACACUUCUUCCUAGCAGGCAAUCAAGUGGAGAGUUGGGGCCUGAACGUAAGAGCCUUCCUUACCACAGAAGCGAUUAGGUGUGCUGGGAUGUACUGGGCUGCCUUCCUAAUGGUUCCCAUCCACAUGUGGGGUGAGGUCAACUCCCAGUUGCCUACAAGUCACAUUUGUCAUCUCUGCCGGCUCUGACACCCAUCACCUGUGCGGCAAGUCACCUUUGAACUUCCACUGUGCAGAAGAGGGCAUGGAUCUGGGUGAUCCCAAAUCAUGGCUAUUUGUUAUUGUUACUGUUGUUGUUACAUUUUGAUUUGGUUUGGUUUGGUUUGUUUUUUUUAUGCCAAGCACGGAUCCUGCUGCGGUGUCAUUGAUGGUGAUCACUGGCUGAGAUCUUGGCUUUAGGACCAGUGUAGGUUUUGCUACUUAGAAAUUCCCCUCUGCCUCAUCACGUAGUGGAGAACAAUUAACUUCCCUCCCCAGAGGAGAAGACGGGACUUUCUGUCCCUAAGACCUGGGCCAAUCUUACCCUGAAGCAUGGUGGUUGCAGGUGUUUCUCAGUGGUGCAGGGGCAGGGGCCUUUCUGUCUUGCUCUCAGUUCCCAAUAGGAGGAAGCCUUGGAGGCCAUGGGUACUGUGGUACUGGGUGGGCCUAAGAAAGAUGGGUUAAAAGCCUGAGGAAUGUAGAGAAAAGAACAAGAAGGCGCCUUGGAUGUGCAUCUGAAUCACUGUGUCCCAUCCCCCUGAGCUCUACAGAUGGUCUACGUGGUGAUUUGAAGAAGAAAUGAGCACCCCAGGCUCAGGCAUCUGAACACUUGGUCCCAGUUGGUGACGCCAUUUAGAGAAUUUUAAGAGGUGUAGCCUUGUUGGGGGGUUGUGGGGAGUAUAAGGCUUUGAAAGGAGCCUUACAGACAAUUUGUUUUGCUUGUGCUGCCAUCCCGGCUCCAUGCUGCCAGGCCUUCCCACCCUGGCAGACUCUAACCCCUCUGAAACUGUAAACCAAAAUACACUCCAUUCAAAAGUUGCUCUUGGUCAAGGUGCUUUAUCACAGCAACAGAAAAAUAACUAAUAUGGUUCAGGCCCCAGAAAAUGCCAAAUCAGAUUAUCCAGACCAUAAUAAGCUUAACAGAGACACCAAAGGAUCUCCUCAGCUCAGCAUAGCGUGCACCAGAGCCAUGUCCCUUGGGCCACCUCACUGUGAUUGGAAGCUUGUCUCAGCAAUGACCACACAGCUCACCCACUAAGCUUCUCUUCAUGUUUCAAGGGCUCCUCUUUAUGCCAUGAAUGGUAUUCAUAAGUACUUUACACUCAAGGAAUUGAGGUUCAUGAUGGCCACAACCUCAAGGACAAAUUCUGCACAUUGAACGUGGGAUACCUUCCCUCUACCCCAGUACUACUGACAUUUAGGGCCAGGUAACUUUAUGUGUUAUAGGAUACUGAGUUAUGUCCUAACUUUUCUACCUGCUAGAUGCCAUGAGUGUGUGGGUGGGGCAUUGCUAAUUCCUUAUCUCUGAAUAGUUCUUAUUCAUCUCCCAUAUUAAAACCUGCAGAGAAAAAAAACAGCUGUUAGCCACAUAUUCCCUACUAGAUACCCCUAUCUGCAAAAUCAAAAAAAUGUUUCCAGAUAGUACUAAAUGCUAGAGAUGCAAAAUCUCUCUCAGUCGAAGAGUUUAAAGAGUACAAAGUCUGGGGACAGGGGACAAUCAGGCUACAGGCCUGACUAAGAAAAGUAGACAUUUGUUGUAGCAGGCUUUCUCUCUCCUAGUCCUCUUGGACCCACCUCAUCUCAAACCAAGACAUAUGAUGAAUUGCUAAGGGAUGAUUAGAAGCACACUUCCCCAGGGGACCAUCACUUCGUGCAAAGAAAUUUGGACUUGUGAUCCAAUCAGCUGGUAAAGUCUAUGGGCCACAGAUGCAAGACAUGCUGGAAGGCCAUUAAAGGGCCAUGUGGGAGAGGGGACAAUUUAGAAUCUAAGGGAAGGGACUCAGAAGCAGAGCCCCACUCCUGGGCCCAAAUCACAAAGCCUAAUCAAGCUACUAUUGAUGUCUGUGUGUCCAGUGGAUCUGGUCUCCCAGCGGGUGCUCUCCCUGAUUUCAGAGAGGUCUGUCAAGGUUUAAGCAGAAGCCUAGCUGGUGGAUGAAAGAGCAGAAAACAUCUCUGACUUCCAAAAGAACUAAGGAAAAGAAUUGGCCAUGGGACUAAGGAGAUGGCUCCACAGUUAAAAGAGCUUACUGGUCUUCCAGAAGAUCCAGCUUCAGUUCCUUUCAACCAUGUUGGGUAAUUUACAACCACCUGCAACUCCAGCUCCACGAGAUCCAACUUGCUCUUCUGGCCUCCAUGGGCUCUGACACACACAUGCAUAAAUACACACUGAGAUACACAUCCACAUAAGUAUAAAAUAAAACCAUGCUGAAAAUAAAGAAA
rnacentral:lncRNA from 1 species